AACGAACGCUGGCGGCAUGCCUAACACAUGCAAGUCGAACGAACCCUUAGGGGUUAGUGGCGAACGGGUGCGUAACGCGUGGGAUUCUGCCCUUUGCUUCGGAAUAACAGUUAGAAGUGACAGCUAAUACCGGAUGAUGUCUUCGGACCAAAGGUUUAUCGGCAAGAGAUGAGCCCGCGUAGGAUGAGGUAGUUGGUGGGGUAAAGGCCUACCAAGCCGACGAUCCUUAGCUGGUCUGAGAGGAUGAUCAGCCCAUACGGGGACUGAGACGUGUGCCAGACUCCGACCGGAGGCAGCAGUGAGGAAUAGUUGACAAUGGGCGCAAUCCCGAUCCAGCAAUGCCGCAUGAGUGAUGAAGGCCUUCGAGUCGUAAAGCUCUUUUACCAGUGAUGAUAAUGACAGUGCCUGGAGAAUAAGCUCCGGCUAACUCCGUGCCAGCCGCCGCCGUAAAAC
rnacentral:rRNA from 1 species